rnacentral:rRNA from 1 species
ACGUCUACAUUAGAUACCCGCGUAGUCCCUGCCGUAAACUAUGCGCGUUAGGUGUAUCGGUGACCACGAGUUACCGAGGUGCCGAAGGGAAACCGUGAAACGUGCCGCCUGGGAAGUACGGUCGCAAGGCUGAAACUUAAAGGAAUUGGCGGGGAGCACCACAACGGGUGGAGCCUGCGGUUUAAUUGGACUCAACGCCGGGAAGCUCACCGGAUAAGACAGCGGAAUGAUUGCCGGGCUGAAGACUCUGCAUGACUAGCUG